rnacentral:rRNA from 1 species
GACGAACGCUGGCGGCGUGCCUAACACAUGCAAGUCGUGCGAGAAAGUUCCUUCGGGAGCGAGUAAAGCGGCGCACGGGUGAGUAACACGUAGGUAACCUGCCCCCCAGUCUGGAACAACUAGAGGAAACUCUAGCUAAUGCCGGAUGAGACCACGAUCCCUUCGGGGGUUGCGGCCAAAGAUGGCCUCUACUUGUAAGCUAUCGCUGAGGGAUGGGCCUGCGGGCCAUUAGCUUGUUGGUGAGGUAACGGCUCACCAAGGCUGUGAUGGCUAGCUGGUCUGAGAGGAUGACCAGCCACACUGGGACUGAGACACGGCCCAGACUCCUACGGGAGCAGCAGUGGGGAAUAUUGCGCAAUGGCGAAAGCCUGACGCAGCGACGCCGCGUGGGU